UCCAGGAACAGGGGGCAGCGUGAGGGGUGCAGCCUGACCUUGGCUGCCUGUGACUGCGGCCCUGAAGCCCCAGUCAACCCUGCUGUCAGCCCUGGAGGCCGUUUAACACGCGAGAACGGGCGGUGAGGGCGGCGUUCUACCACCACGGGCUCUCCGCGCGGAGGCAGGGUGCUCCCCAGGACGCCACGGACGGACCACUCCCCGCCACGGGGCCAGCACUGCCCCUGCCGCACGUCACGGGGCUCCUCGGGGAGCGUGGGUUACAGACGAGGAACGAGAGGCUGCACGGCUCCCCAAGGGGACCCCUUCGCCCAGGAAGUGCAGGGCUGGGGUCACCACCUAGUGUGGCCACAGCAUCCCCCGUCCGGGGGCCUUGGGGAUCCUUGCAGCUGAGGUUCCUCUGCAGGACUCAGGAGGACCUGCACCCUCGGGAAGCCCUAGAUAGGCCUCCUGGGGAGCUCGUUGGCCAGCGACCCUGAGUCAGGCAGCUCGGGCCGGGCUCGGUCAGCCUGACCAGCGCCAAGCCAAGACGUGGGAGCCACCUAAACGUCCACUGACAGGAGCGGAGAGAUAAGAUCCUUAAACCCAAAGGAACACCACUUAGUCGUAAAAAAGAAGGAGACCAGGCCAUUUGCAGCAGCGUGGAUGGAGCAAGAGAUGAUCCCACCAAGUGAGGUGGCUUUCCUUCUGGUCCUCGUACUGACCGCGGGGCCCUGGAGAGCAGAGCGGCAGGAGCUUCCGUGGACACACCCAAGGGAGAAGUGUGUGUCCAGAGACAGGACCCUUCAGAAGGAAGGUCCCUGGAGUGAGAGGCACGUGCCAGGCUGGCGGCUUUUGGACAAGGCCAGGACCUCACUGAACCCUCUUCCGAUUCCCGUUCUUCCAAAGUCUUUCGAGUUCUGACUGGAUCCUCAAGGGGAACGUCUGUAGAUCAUCUGGUGCUCUGUCCAGUUUUCCCACUCUCUAACACACAUCACAGAC